rnacentral:lncRNA from 1 species
CUAGAGGUCCACUAUUCUCUUCAUGGUCAUACCUCCAAUAACCUAACUUCCUCUGCCUAGGUCCUGCAUCUUAAAGGUUCCAUCACUUCCACCAUAGCCACGGGCUGGGGACCAAGCCGUCCACACAUGAAUACGGAUCAAGCUUUCAACAUCUAAAUGAUACCACAAAGGAAAAAGAAUUUUUGUGAUAGCAGUGAGAAGCAAGAAAAAAGUUGCAGGGGCAGAAAACAUUGGAGAAGCACAGCUCUGCGCCAUCAAAGAACCAUCCUGAAGUGCUCUUGACAGACGACUUCAUGAACUUGGAACCUCAACAGUAAUCCCCUGGGGAUGUGAUUUCUCACACACACUAAUCUGAUUCUCCCAG